UGGAAAACCUUUCUAACGGCCUAGAUGCUACAGUUUCGACAUUCGCUAAAUCUAAAGCUUUGUCACAAUAUGUUUAAUUAUAACCUCUAGUUCAAGUUAGAAAAUGGGUUAUUUGUAAUUACAAAAUAAAUAAUAGGUCAAAUAAGAGAAAAUACCGGUUUAGUCUUCAGAUGCCACAUUUUCUACGAUUUCUACAUGUAACAUAGACAUAGCGAUAAUACCUAGCGACCAACUUUUUAAAUCCAGGUUAACAAGAUCCUAACUUGGCCUACAUUACCCAAAAUAAAUAUUUUGAUUAGAAUUCAUUUAAGAUAUUCACAAUAACUUUAUGACCUAGUUUCGCAUUUGAUUUAAAAUUUAUACAAAAUAUAUUCUUACUAAGUUUUACGAAGAAAAUGUGGCAUCUAGCGUGUUUACGAUUUUUAUGACCUUAGAUUUGACUUCAAUGAAACCUUUUGAAAACUCGUCUGACAGUAAAUAAAGAUCCCUAUUUCAUUUUCAUCAAACAGAAAAUUUGGUGUCUCAUAUGUUGUCUAUAAUCUGGCCUAGUUAUUUUGUCUGAGGCCCCAAAAUGGGUUACCAUUUUUAUUUACUUUCUGGAUGCAUCAAGUUUUUUUGACAAUCUCACAUAUAUGCGUUUACAUCUAGUGCAAUCAAUAUUCACGAAUCUUUGAAAUUCAAUAAUAGAAUUUCAUACUGUACAUUAACUUUGUUACUAUGUGAAAUCUAACCUAUCAAGAUUGUGUUGUUCUAUGAUAUUUAGCACCCAAAACACAGACAGCAUAUAUCAAAUAUCGAGUUUGUGCCGUACAAAAGUAUUAAUAUCUCUUUCAUUAGCUCACCUAAGCAAUGCUCAGGUGAGUUGUUGUGAUCGCUCGAUGUCCGGCGACCGUCGUCUGUCUGUCUGUCAACAUUUAGCUUGUGUAUGCAAUAAAGGCUGUAUUUUCCAAUUGAUCUUCUUGAAAUUUGGUCAAAAUGAUUGCCUUGAUGACAUCUAUGCCAUGUUUGAAUAUUAGUUAUAUUGGGUCAAAAACCAGGUCAAAAGGUCAACUCAAAGAAUGUGUAUGCGAUAGAGGCUGUAUUUUUCAACUGAUCUUCACGAAGAUCUUGAUUGAUGUUCAACGUAUUAAGUCUUUUUCUCUAAAACUAAUGUUUUUUUUGUUUGGUUGAAACUUCACACAUGCCUUCAUGGUUAUUAGGCACUGCACAGAGCCAGGUGCCAUAACUCUGACAAUAAUUUUAACAUAAUUAUCCCGCUUUUAAAAUUAGAAAUUUCAACUUAAGUUUUCGAGUCUCUACAUGGAAAUUUUUUAAUUAUGUCCCUUUAUGGCUGUCACUGCUUGACUGGAUAUUUUGGUCAAACUUUAUAUGUGACGUCGUCUUUGAAAAACGGUCCAGAUGCGGCAUGACGUAAUAUCGAGAAACGACGUUUAAAGUUGCGCCAAGUUUACGCGCGCAGCUUUCUUACACAUGUUUUAAUUAGCAAAAGUUUGACCGUUAUAGUACGACUGCUUGUUACAUGAUUGAUAACAGCCUACUAGAGAAAGAAUAUUUAGACAUCAGACCUGUAAAAAAAUAGUGGUAUUACGCCUGAUGCAAAAUAUUUCAUUCAAAAUCAGUUGUUUCCCCUUCAAUAUGUUUCCGGUUUCGGAUUUUAUCAGGGAAGCGUGUGAAGUUUACUUUUGUUUAUUUACCUUUUGUUCAACGAUGAAGGGAUCUGAGACUUGUAAUACUGUUUAGUGAUUUGAUAAUAUUCCUUGUUCCUUUAAUGGUUCAUUCCACUACAGCUGGUUAUUAUAUACCCUACAACAGCCAGGAAAUUGGUCUGUUUACUUUAAGAUCUCAAGAAAAUGUAACAUAUUUUGGAUGUGCUUUGAGGAAUCAGGAAGGCAAGUGUUUCCUCUUGUUUAUGAAAGCAACUUAGUUGGUUAAGGGGCAGACAACUUGUGAGCAUGGUACAUCACUACUGUAUUGGUAUUCCAUUUUGACAAUGCUGCUAGCUAGAAUAGAAAUAACAUCUUGCUAUGGUAUGGUCUGUGGAGAGUUUUACUAGGAUAUCACAGAUCGAUUGAAUAUUCAACAAUGAUCACAGACCAUGCAAAGUUUGAAUCUGACUUGCUCUUUUGAAUUUAGAAGAAUCUGUGGAGGAGGGUGAAUUCUGAGACCUUUAAUAAUACAUGAUAUUGAUGACACAGUGUGUCAGUCAUCAAAGAAAUGUCAUAACAACACAGUUGGUCAACAAUGAUUUAAAUCCUGUCACAUUCUUCCAGUGGAGAAAUAUCUUAUCACAAUAUUUUAAACUUUUGAAGAAGAUAACCAAGUAUUACCACCUUAUCAUGUCUGCAGAAACACCUGGAUUGUUAGUCUUAAAAGUGACAGUCCAGUUAACAUACUAAAAUCUACUCCCCCUUGCCAAAGAAUAUUAUUGACAUGGAAUGACACAAGCCUGACAAUGGUACCUGUAUGAACUCAUAAGAGUCUGAAAAGUCAAAGGAUUCUGUUUGUCCCAAACCACUUGAACUGAAAUUGGAUUGACGAGGAUUUUUCUGAGAACUGAAAAAAGGAAGUGAAUAUAAAAGAUAGAAAUAAUUGUUGAAUUCAAACGUUUUAAUAUACAACACUUUAGCCUGCUUUGCUGUUCAUAUAGAUGUGUUUAGCUGUUAAGGUUAAACAUCAAGUAAAGGUUGUAGUUUCAGUUACCUACAUUAAAGUAUUGGCUGGAAAUAAAUAUUUACUUUUCACCAGAGCUUGUAGCAGUGUAAACUUCAUCAAAAGUAAAGCUGUUGUGUUAGUUAUUAAAGUUAUUUUAGAAAAAGGAAUUUAGUAUGUAUGUUGCCAUGGUAACAUAAUUCAAAUUCUAUUUUAUUGAAAUUAUGGAUUUGUAUUUCAAUAAGGGAUCUAUAGUUUAUAAUGUAAUGAUAAAAGAAUGUUCACUUUCUUCAGUAUUGUCAGUUAUAACUAGUCAGUGAAAAAACAGAUUAUGAGGAAAGGGAUGACUGAAAUGUUUAUUCUUACGAUAACUACUUUUGGUACAGAACAUGACUGUUUUAAAGUUUUUAUGUGAAAUUUUCAGAUUUCUUUCCUGAAUACUUGUACUUUCAAAUAUUUAACUUAUUAGAAAUACUUUUUUAAAAUAAGCUCUUGUUUUUAAGUAUUAUUGUAGGAAAAGGGAAUUUAAAACAUAUGUUGCCAUGGUAACACAAUUUUCUUAGAAAAUAUGGAAAUUUUUUAAUUAGCUGUACUUUCUAGUAUUCAAGAUAAGCAUAAACAAUAAAAAAUCAAUAGUAAUAUAUGUUUCAUUUAUUUCAAAAUAGUAAUUUAUUACCAGCAGGUAAAAGGCAAGUUAAGAAGAAACAAUGACAGAAAUGUCUUAUUCUUAUAGUUAUUACUCAUGUUACAAACACUGUCAUAAAACAAAAUAUUUUAAAUUUUUAACAUGGAAUUUUGAGAUAAUAUUUUUGAAUACAUACCACUUUAUAAUAUUCAAGUUAUCUGAAACACUUUUCCAAAUUUAGCCCGUUUUUAAAGUAUUAUUGUAGAAAACAGAAUCAAAUGCAUAUGUUGUCAUGGUAACAUAAUUUAAUAACGUUUUUAUAGAAAAUGUGAAGGACUUUAGCCAGCUAGAUGUUUGCACUUUAAGUGAAUAUCUAAAUAUUCUUUGUAAAAGAAGAUUCAUUUAUUUAAAAAUAGCCAGUGAUUACCAAUAACUGAAAACACAAACUGAAGAAACAACAACUGAAAUAGUUUAUUCUUGUGGUUAUUUCCCGUGUUACGAAAUCUGUCAUAAAACCAAACAUUUUAUAUCUUUUCAUAUAAAAUUUUCAAAUUUUACUUUUGAAAACAUAAAACUCUAAAUAUUCAACUUAUAAGAAACAUUAUUUUAAAUUAAGCUUUUAUUUAUAAGUACUAUUGUAGAAAAAGCAAUUUAUUGCAUAUGUUGCCAUGGUAACACAAUUUGAAUAAUGUUUUCAUAGAAAAUAUGAAAGAUUUAAAUUAGCUGUAUUUUUCUGUUUUAGUAAGCAUCACAAAAAUAAAAUUUCAUAGUAAUAGAAGGUUCUUUUUUUCCAAGGUAGUCAUUUAUUACCAGCAUGUAAAAGACAAGUUAUGAAGAAACAAUGACAAAUCUAUCUUAUUCUUGUGGUUAUUACCCAUGUUACAAAAACUGUCAUAAAACCAAACAUCAAUUCUUAAUAUUUUCAUGGGAAAUUUUCAGUUUAUUUUUGUAAAUACAUAUGCCUUAAAAUAUUUCGCUUUUUAAAAUCCUUAUUUCAAGCGAACAUGUUUUUUUUUAAGUUUUAUCAUAGAAAAGGGAUUUUAAUAUAUUUGUUGCCAUGGUAACACAAUUUUAGAAAUAUUUUUAUAGAAAUUGUUGUACAUUUUAAUUGAUUAUCAUUUUGUGUAUUAAGAAGGGAUCUUACUUAUAUCAUGCAAUUGUAACAAAAGAUAUAUUUAUUUCAGAAUUGUUAGCCAUUACCAGUAUGUGAGAAAUAAACUAGAAAGAAAGGAUAA